GUGAGUCCACAGCUCCCGAGGCAGCAGGGCCACCCCUCUAUCUGAGCAGGGCCCCUCGGGGUGUGACCAGGCCAGGGGAGGGUCAGCUCCCCACAGGGGGUCUCCGCAGGGGCUCGCUGCCCUCCCCCAGCUCCACCCUUACCUACCUACUCUCCCCCAACUGUAAGCUCACUCAGCAGCCCAUGUCAAGGGAGACUGCUAAACGGGGCCAGGUGGGCGCUGGGCUGAAGCCAAAGGCCUACACUCAUCCUCAGGAGGGGCUUGAGCGCAGGACCAGGGUGGAAGAAGACGCGUGAGAGGCUGCCAGAACGGGGAGGGUCUAGAGCCAGGAGACAGAGCCUCUGUCCUCAAUUCCCGGGGGCCUCGGGCAGGCCCUUCCUUUCUAUCAGCCUGUUGACCCAUGAGGUGACGGGCCUGGGGUAGUCGCUGCAAUCCCUCUGGGCUUCACUUUUUUUUUUUUAAUUUUAAAAAAUUCCAACAGGGACAAUACAUCUUGGAAAACUGUAAGAUUAGGAGACCUCCUGUGAGAGCCCCAGGAAGCCCAAUGAGAGGAAACGCUGUGGAGCGUGGGGGAGGUUUGAAGCUGACACUGAGGAAGCCUUCCUGGGAAGGAGCUUGAGCCCCUGGACAAGACUGGGGUCACUGCUGUCCGGGGCUACAGCUGCCUGGGCAGCAGGAGGGACCUGUGAGCAAAGCAGUGUUGGGAGAUACCUCUGCCCUUGUCUCUGGGAUAGCAGGACUCUGUCCUGGUCAUGCUGGAUGUCCGAUCCUGGCCCUCAUGAGAUCUGACUUUUGACCUUUGGCUUAAUCAUAGACUGAGGUUGUUUGUCCAGUCACCCCACACCAUUAAGAUUGUGCGGAGCCCAGUGCUGGCUCCGGGCAGGGCGGGCAGUCUGUCUGAGGAGGAGACACAGCCUCUGCCCUCAGGAGCCCAGUGGAGGGGCAGUAGGCUCUCCCCCAGGGAAGAGACCUGUCAUAGGGACAAAUGACCUGGGAGGCAGGCGAACCCCUCACCCCUCCUCUAGGGGCAGCUGGAGCCUGAACUGCAUGUGAAUCUGAAACUAGAUCAGGGAAGAGCUGGCAGCAUGCCCGGCAGUGGCAGCAGUGCUUUGGGGAGCUGGUGGGGCUGAGGAAGCACCCGUGAGUCCCCCUGCCCUGGCCGUCUGCAGACAAGCCCUUGGGUGUAAGGGACAAAGGCUGGGUGGGAGAGUGCACACUAUGGGCAGAUGUUCAGGCCUGGGAGAGGGGCGUGCUGGGCUCUCGGUCCUCCAUGCUGGUGAGUGUGCUGCACGCAGAAGAUGCACGAGGCAUCAGUGAGGGUGUGUGGUGCAGGUGUGUGCACUUCUGGUGCAACACGUGUGGGUGAGCCAGGAUGCAGCCCACAAGGGGAGCAGGGAGACUGGGCCAGUGUCUGCCCCAUGAGGUCAUGCUGGGAAAUCUGCCCCUGCUUCCUGGACCUCAAGGCCCCUGCACACAGGGAGGGGUCGGCAGAGACCAGUGUAGGCCUCCCCAGCUCCAUCAGUCUGUGCUCUGAGCACCCGCACCUGGGGAAGCCCCAAGGGGCCCUGCCCGCCCACUGCCAGGCCUUCUGUCUCCCCUUGAUCCCUCGCCUUGGCGCCCCAACAACUGUGCCUGACCAGCGAAUGCAGACUGAGCCAGCUGUCGCUGUGACAUCCAUUCUCCUCGGUGGGCCUGGGUGCUCCCACCCAGCUCCCCUAGCUCCUCUCGCCCGCCUCCCUCCCUGCUACACCCACAUCUGGGAAUUAGGCAGGAUGACACCUAAAAGCCUCCAGUGGCCAUGGAAUCUCAUGGGGUUCUGAGCCUUAAUCCACGAGCUGGUCUCGAGAGACCAAGGUAACAAGAAGUUCUGCUCCCAGCACCCUCAGAUCCCCACUUUCUCUGCCCCGGGGCUCUGGGAGGAUUCCUGGGGCACCAGCCCAGAAGAGGAAAAAGGCGCCUUAUUUGCAUAUCACUUUCAUCUGAUUUGCACAUGCCUCCUGGUUUGGCCAUUUCUAAGCAACCCUAGAAUUUGGAUCUCACAGGAUGCUGAGCCGUUUCUAGGCGCUAGCUUCUCUCCAUCUCCCACAACCCAGGUGCCUCCUAAAGGACAGUCACAUGAGCGUCCCUGCAAAUAAUCCACCUGCCAAUGCAGGAGAUGCAGGUUUGAUCCCUAGGUCGGGAAGAUCUCCUGGAGAAGGAAAUGGCAACCCACUCCAGUAUUCUUGCCUAGGAAAUCCCAUGGACAGUAGAGCUUAGUGGGCUAUUGUCCAUGGGGUCGCAAAGAGUCAGACACAACUUAGUGACUAAAAGGACAUCAAAGCGCAGUCACACGCACGGAACUCUCCCUCCACUCAGCUGCACUUGCACGCAGGCGCAAGAGUACAGCAGCCUCCGCCAAAUGCAGAAAUGCGGAGUCCUGGGCCCCAGCCCUGUGCACCCUCACCCUUGGCCCAUGGAAUAUACACUGAAUACACACUCACAUGUGCAACUGCAUACUUCCGUCUUCACACGCACUCAAAACUCACACACAUUUGUCUACACACAGCCUCAGGGCACAAGCAAACACAACUCAGCUUCACAUAGGAGUUGGGUGGGUUACACACAGUCUCUGUGCCAGGGUGGGCUGCCAGUGAGGUGCCCUAAGCAACAGAUCCCACCCAGCCCCUGAGAUGGGCAGGACUGGCAAGGGUCCUGCUGUGUGACUGGCUGGGAGGAGACAGCGCAGCUCAGGUGGCUAUUGGUAGUGGUUUUACCACCAGCAGGUCCCUAGGAUACACAGUCAAUGUAGCAACCCUUUAGUCAGAGUUUUGUCUUCCCCGAAAUAUGGUUUCAUCCUGCGUUUUCUGUACCAUUUCUGGUCCCCCAACCCCAGGCCUCCUGCCCUUAUUGGUCCCCAAACAGCUUCCUUGGGUGGCCCUGCCUUCUGACUUUAUUCACCCUACUCCCUACCAAGAACACCUCCCUGCCUCCUCCAACGUGAACACCCAACACCUUCAUUCAUGCCCUCUUCCUGGGUGGGCUUCCUUCCCUGUUCUCUCGGCACACUUCUAUACAUCCUUCAAGUCCCACCUUGAGCGUCACCUCUUCGGUGAAUCCUUCUCCAGUCUUACCAGGCAGAAGUAAUCUCGCUCCUCACUCUGUAAAUCCAGAGGCAGAGCAGUGGGUAGAAAGACACAGUUGGCCCUGAAUAUCUGUGUAGAGGAUGUUUAGGGGUUCGGAGGCUUUAUUUGUAAGGAAGGGCAGGGGGCUUUUCAGAAAAACAUAAUUACAUGGUGAGUGUCUGGGUUUAAAUUAUAUUUGUGUUUAUUUUCGGGGAAGAGCAUAGACACCAUAAUCAGACAAUACUGCUUCUACCAUUUCUGCUGUGCAUCUUUGGCCCCGCACCCCUGAGAUCACUAACGUGGCUGAAGGAGCACUGUCUCGCCUUAUUGUUCUAAGGCUGUUCACUAAGCAGGGCUUUAGUCAGAAAAUGCAAUUCCAGUUCCAAAAGGGACAGCAGUUCACACUCUGAGCAGCCAGCACCCCACAGGUGCCACAGCCCUGGUUGUUCGUCAGUCUUUUAAUUUUUUCAAUCCAAAGGGUAAAAAAUACGUCACAGGGAUUUGAACAACAGAAAUAAUAAAGUAGUAUUGGAUUACAACCCAAAGUAUGAAAUAAAUAUACACGAGUCCACAGUGAUUUUAAUAAAUGAUUGAAUAAGUUAAUAAAAGGGGAAAGAAGAAUUCCAGGUAAAUGAUGCAGUCAGUUCAUCCUAAAAGAGGGGCAUUUCAUCCCUCCCUACUUAACUGUGGGCUGUACAUAACGACAUCCUUUUAAAGAGUAGAGCAUGGAAGAGGCAGGCUAGGGAGUGAGGGAUAACUACAGAGAAAAAGCCUGACAAAGACAACCGCAACCAGGUAAUCCAGGUCAACAUCGACGGUCAUUGUUGACAUUGUUGCUCAGUCUGUUUACUGCCAACAGGCCAGUAUGUCAAUGAGUUGCUGGGGCAAGUAACAGCAACUUCAUCUGGAAAGCCAGCAGACCAAGGUGGUGGACCAGUGUCCCAAAGAACUGUCUGGCCCAGGUAUGGAUGCUAGUCCCUUUUAUAGAACAGAGAAGGGAAGGUGAGGAGGUAAAAACAGGAAUAAGCUGCUCCAAAUAAUUCCUGGUUCUAGCCAGACCCUGGAGAGAAUGUGUUCAUUUCUUCUUUCCUUCAGCCAUUCACAGAUAGACCUGGUCAGGAUACUACCUGAUUACUAAACAAGGUAUAUUAGCUUCAUGCUCAGGCCUGGGAGGCAGGGUUCCCAGAGAUGAGCCAUUAUGUAUAUUUUAAGAUAUAGGUAACAUCCUUUCAGGGAUUAACUUGUAGAAAAAACAAUAGAAUACAGAAGUAUAAAGUAAAAGAAAGAGAUCCAAUAUGGAGUCAAAUUUGUUCUUCCCUAUGAUAUACAUGGGCUUACCUGGUGGCUCAGUGGUAAAGAAUCUACCUGUCAAUGCAGGAGACAUGGGUUCAAUCCCUGGAUUGGGAAAAUUCCCUGGAAAAGGAAAUGGCAAUCCACUCCAGUAUUCUUGCCUGGGAAAUCCCAUGGACAAGGGAGCCUGGCAGGUAAGAGUCCAUACGGUCUCAAAAGAGUUGGACACAACUUAGCGACUAAACAAUUACAUACAUAUCCUUAACAUGAUGUGAUGAGAAUGCCACUUCACUUCCGUAGUCAACCUCCCCCAAAUGCAUAGGCCCAGUCUAUGAGAAAAAGAUCAGACAAAUUCCAGCAGAGGGUAUUCUACAAAAAAAAAAAAAACAACCUGACCGUACUCCUCAAACUGUCACGUCAUCAAAAAUAAGAACAAUCCGAGACUAAAUGCGAUGAGGUAUCCCAAAUGGGAUCCUGGGACAAAACAUGGUAAAAACUAGGAAAAUCCGAAUAGAAGUAUGGACUUUAGUUGACAAUAAUAUAUCACUAUAGGUGAUUCAGACAGUAAAUAAUCCACCUGCAAAGAAGGAGACUUGGGUUCAAUCCUUGGGUUGGGAAGAUUCCCUGGAGAAGGGAAUGGCUUCCCACUCCAGUAUUCUUGUCUGGAGAAUUCCAGGGACAAAGGAGCCUGGUGGGCUACAGUCCACAGGGGCACAAAGAAUGACUGAGUGAAUAACAUUUGUGUGUAACAAUAGUAUAUCACUACUGGGAUCUUUAGUUGCAGCAUGUCGGACCUAGUUCCUGACCAGGGAUCAAACCUGGGCCUCCUGCAUUGGGACCAGAGAAUCUUAGGCACUAGACCACCAGGGAAAUCUUACUAUUGUUUCUUUAAUUGUAACACACAUCCAUGCUAAUAUAAGUUGUUAAUAUUAGGGGAAACUGUAUGCGGUGGGACAAGGGAUAUCAAUGGGAACUCUCUGUACUAUCUGUUUAAUUUUUUCUGUAAAUCUAAAACUGUUCUCAUGCAACUGACUAGGGCUUAAUUUCCAAAUAUACAAACAGUUCAUGCAACUUGCAACAAUAACGAAAAACAUGAGCAACCCAAUCAAAACAUGGGCAGAAGACCUCAAGAGAUAUUUCUCCAAAGAAGACAUAUAGAUGGCCAACAGUCACAUGAAAAGAUACUCAAUCUUGCUAAUUAUUAGAGAAAUGCAAAUCAAAACUACAAUGAGGUGCCACUUCACACUGGUCAGAACGGUCAUCAUUAAAAAAUCUAGAAAUAACAAAUGCUGGGGAGGAUUUGGAGUAAAGAAAACCCUCCUACAUUGGUGUGACUGUAAACUGGCGUAGCCACUAUGGAAAACUGUAUGGAUGUUCCUCAAAAAACUAUAAACGGAACUACCAUAUGAUCCAGCAAUCCCAUUCCUGGGCAUAUAUCCUGACUAAACUAUACUCAAAGAGAAACAUACACCCUAUGUUCAUAGCAGCACGGUUCACAAUAGGCAAGACAUGGGAACAACCUAAAUGUCUAUCAACAGAUGACUGGAUAAAGGAGAUGGAAUACUAUCAGACAUAAAAAGGAAUGAAAUAAUGCCAUUUGUAGCAACGUGGAUGGACCUAGAGAUUAUCACACUAAGUCACAAAGACAAAUACCAUGUGAUAUCACUUAUGUGUAAAAUCUAUAAAGAAGGCUGAGCGCCAAAGAAUUGAUGCUUUUGAACUGUGGUGUUGGAGAAGACUCUUGAGAGUCCCUUGGACUGCAAGGAGAUCCAACCCGUCCAUCCUAAAGGAAAUCAGUCCUGAAUGUUCAUUGGAAGGACUGAUGCUGAAGGAUGAAUACUUUGGCCACCUGAUGCGAAGGACUGACUCAUGGAAAAGACCCUGAUGCUGGGAAAGACUGAAGGCAGGAGGAGAAGGGGAUGAGAGAGGAUGAGAUGGUUGGAUGGCAUCCCCGACUCGAUGGACAUGAGUUUGAGCGAGCUCCAGGAGUUGGUGAUGGACAGGGAAGCCUGGCGUGCUGCAGUCCAUGGGAUCGCAGAGUCCGACGCGACUGAGCGACUGAACUGAACUGGUGUGUAAACUCUAAAGUGUGACGCAAAUAAACUUAUCUACAGAACAGAAGCAAACUCACAGACACAGAGAACAGACUUGUGGUUGCCAAGGGGGUGGGGGAGAGACGGAUUGGGAGUCUGAGAUGUGCAGAUGCAAACUAUUAAAUACAGAAUGGAUAAGCAACAAGGUCCUCAUUGCAUAGCCCAGAGAACUAUGGUCAAUACCUGUGAUAAACCACAAUGAAAAAGAAUAUGAAAAGGACUAUAUAUUAUACAUACGCGUACAGCUGAAUCACUUUGCUGUACGCCAGAAAUUAACACGACAUUGUAAACCAAC
ensembl:lncRNA